rnacentral:tRNA from 12 species
AGGGGUUUAGUUCAGUUGGUAGAACGUCGGUCUCCAAAACCGGAUGUCACGGGUUCAAGUCCUGUAACCCCUGCCA